AGAGUUUGAUCCUGGCUCAGAACGAACGCUGGCGGCGUACCUAACACAUGCAAGUCGAACGAGAAAUUCCGAUUCGUCGGGAGAGUAAAGUGGCGAAUGGGUGAGUAAUGCGAGGGUAAUCUACCCUUGAAUUAGGGAUAACUUUGCGAAAGCGAAGCUAAUACCUAAUAAGACUACAGUCUCUUAGGAGACAGUAGGAAAAGAUGGCCUCUGUUUCAAGCUACUGUUUAAGGAUGAGCCCUUGUACUAUUAGCUAGUUGGCGGGGUAACGGCCCACCAAGGCAACGAUGGGUAGCCGACCUGAGAGGGUGAUCGGCCACACUGGGACUGAGAUACGGCCCAGACUCCUACGGGAGGCAGCAGUGAGGAAUAUUGCGCAAUGGAGGAAACUCUGACGCAGCAACGCCGCGUGCGGGAUGACGCUUUUAGGAGUGUAAACCGCUGUUAGUAGGGACGAAUAAGGUGAGUUUGAAUAAGGUUCACCGAUGACGGUACCUACAGAGAAAGCCCCGGCUAACUCCGUGCCAGCAGCCGCGGUAAUACGGAGGGGGCGAGCGUUGUCCGGAAUUAUUGGGCGUAAAGGGCGCGUAGGCGGGCUGAUAAGUCUGAGGUGAAAGUUUGCGGCUUAACCGUAAAAUUGCCUUGGAUACUGCCAGUCUUGAGUUCGGAAGAGGAAAGUGGAAUUCCUGGUGUAGCGGUGAAAUGCGUAGAUAUCAGGAAGAACACCGGUGGCGAAGGCGGCUUUCUGGUCCGAAACUGACGCUGAGGCGCGAAAGUGUGGGUAGCGAACAGGAUUAGAUACCCUGGUAGUCCACACAGUAAACGAUGGAUACUAGGUGUUGGAUGGUAACGUUCAGCGCCGGAGCAAACGCAUUAAGUAUCCCGCCUGGGGAGUACGAUCGCAAGAUUGAAACUCAAAGGAAUUGACGGGGCCCGCACAAGCGGUGGAGCAUGUGGUUUAAUUCGAUGCA
rnacentral:rRNA from 1 species